rnacentral:rRNA from 1 species
GACGAACGCUGGCGGCGUGCUUAACACAUGCAAGUCGAACGAAGUGGCGAACGGGUGAGUAACGCGUAAUCAACCUGCCCUUCAGAGGGGGACAACAGUUGGAAACGACUGCUAAGACCGCAUACUGAAGGCGGGGAUUGCGUCUGAUUAGCUAGUUGGAUGGGUAACGGCCCACCAAGGCGAUGAUCAGUAGCCGGUCUGAGAGGUUGAACGGCCCCAUUGUGACUGAGACACGGCCCAGAGUCCUACGGGAGGCAGCAGUGGGGAGUCUUCCGACAUGGACGAAAGUCUUGCGGAGCAACGCCGCGUGAGUGAUGACGUCCCUCGGGUUGUAGAGCUCUGUUAAUCGGGAGGCGGUACCGGAAUAGAGGGCCACGGCUAACAACGUACCAGCCGCCGCGGUAAUAC